CGGCAUCAGCAAGCAGUUCAGCACAGGCCGGCCAGGCAACAGGUUUUAAUCUGGCAUGGUCAGCACCCACCCAGACCCAGUUGUAGUAGUGGGAAAGGCUGCUCCUGUUCGAGUGCCUAUAGUUGUACGUAGCGUAGGCUGGAAUAAAGGCGUCCUGCGGCGCUGGCACUGGCGCUGGCACACAUGAGCCCUGAAGCCCCUGCCAUUCGAAGUGAAGAGCCGGCCGAAAGAAAAGA
rnacentral:lncRNA from 1 species